rnacentral:rRNA from 1 species
AUGGCUCCCAAGCGCGCCACCCCACGCAAGCGCUCCGCCACCGCAGAUCCCGCCACCAGUUCGGAAGAAGACUCCAGCGGUUCCUCUACCUCCCACAACCAAGAGGUGGCAGACGAGGAAACGGGGGAAUCGGAAUCGGAGGAUGCGGCGGCGGCGGAGGAGUCGGCGGAGGAUGGGGGCGAGGGGGAGGGGGAGUCGACGGAGGAUGAGGACGAGUGGGAGGCGGAGCCUGAUCCGCAGCUCGCGGCCAAGAAUCCACCUCAAUCAAGCAAGUUGCCUGCUCGCAAGAGGGGAAAGACGCCGGCGCCGGCACCAGUACAUCAAAAUGGCGAGAAGAAGAAGCUGCAACAUAGCGAAUCGGCAGAACCCAAACCGAAGAAAAGCAGGCGCAUGUGGUCUCCCGACGACGAGGUCCUGAUUCUGGAGGAGCUUGCCGAGCACCGCCUCCAGCAUGGGAAGGUGCCGGCGUGGGGCGACUACGCCUUCUUUGAGUCUGUUGCCAAGCGCCUUGAGGACAGCAGCUGCCAUUAUUUUGUUGUAAAGGAGAAAGUUCGCACCCUGCUGCGUCGCUACAAAUCUCACAUCUUAUCUGUCACGGACCAUGAUAAGCGCCUUGACAGUCUCUCCGAAGAUGUCUGGGGAGACUUGCAGGUGACCGAUGGCGCUAUUAAUGGCAGCAAACAGGCAGAGGGUGAGGGUGCCAUGGUGAGGGCUGAGAAUGGCAGCAGCGGCCAGACUCAGCCCAGGAGCUUCGAGGAAAUGUGUGAGGUGUAUCCUCUGCUUGCGCAGGAGGUGAAGAUGCUCGCGGAGGUGCAACCUGCCGUCAAAAGCUUGUUCACCAGACUAGAUGCCAAGAGAGCCCUCUACAUGCAGAAGAAGCUGGAGAGAAUUAGGUCCACAGAGGUGAAGAUCCAGGCACGGAUGGCCGCCAAGGUACAUGCACCUAAGGCAAAGAUUAGUGAGAAGCUUGCCCGUCUGCUCACAUAG